AAGGCCCGUGGCAGAACACCACGUUGAUAGGCCGGAAGUGUACGCACAGCAAUGUGUUCAGCUGACCGGUACUAAUCGGCCGAGGGCUUGGUUAU
rnacentral:rRNA from 1 species